AUGGCUCAGGAUGAACGCUGGCGGCGUGCUUAACACAUGCAAGUCGAGCGAGAAACUUACAGAUGACGCUCGGUUGAUUCAGUAAGCGGAAAGCGGCGGACGGGUGAGUAACGCGUAGGCAACCUGCCCCUGGGCAGAGGGAUAGCAUCGGGAAACUGAUAUUAAGACCUCAUAACGCAUCCACAUCACAUGAUGAGGAUGCCAAAGAUUUAUCGGGCAAGGGAUGGGCCUGCGUCUGAUUAGUUAGUUGGUGAGGUAACGGCUCACCAAGGCAGCGAUCAGUAGCCGACCUGAGAGGGUGAUCGGCCACAUUGGAACUGAGACACGGUCCAGACUCCUACGGGAGGCAGCAGUGGGGAAUAUUGCACAAUGGGGGAAACCCUGAUGCAGCAACGCCGCGUGAGCGAUGAAGGCCUUUGGGUCGUAAAGCUCUGUCCUUGGGGAAGAAAAAAUGACGGUACCCUUGGAGGAAGCCCCGGCUAACUACGUGCCAGCCGCCGC
rnacentral:rRNA from 1 species